UGGUUCGGAAGCUGCAAAAUGGAAAUGUGUUGGAGCUAUUGACAAUUUGACAUCACUUAAUAUCUGUUCAAUUAUAUAUUUGCCUACCCCAGGGAUAUUGAAUGCAACAUUUGGUUCAAGCUUUUGAAAGAAUGGGCAUACAAGUGAUCCUUUUCUUGAUUCUCUAAAGCAUAUUGUUUGAUUUUUCAGAAAUUCUUUGGUGGUGGUGGCACUAUUGUAUGUGGACCGACUAUUGUGGCUUACUGGCUUGUGUUCCAGUUGCCACUGCUCAACAAGGAGAAGAAUGUAUGCAGAAGAUUCUUCCUGUUGGCAUGGGGCUUGAGAGAGAGGAAGAGAUACAUGUCGGCCUCUAUGCACAUUGCGCACAAGGGUUGCUGGUCAGUAUUAGUGUUUAUGCAAGUCCAUUCAUCUUAUCAUUCAAUUAGAUGUGUGUUUUGGAUAUCUUAGGAUUUUCAACAAAAAUAACUAUGAGAUACUCUGAGUAAUGAGACUUAAAUUCAAUCAUUGAUUUCCCUAUUUCAAAUUCAAUCAUUGAUUUCCCUAUUUUAACUGUAAAAUGUUUAUUUCUUUAGUUAUUAGAAAGUGGGUGAUGUUUAUUUCAUGCCUUAUUUACCGUGGUCUAUCCAUCUCUUUCUUUUGAGCUCGAGAAGUGAAAGGAACUAAAGAAGAUGAUGGUAAUCCUUGGGUCGAUCUGCUGUUUUGCUUUUGUAUUUGAGAACGGCUGAUAGAAUCUUAGGUACUUCAGACUAAUUGAUGCUUCAUUAGGAUAUAACUACUGAUUGGAUGCAUAAGAGAACCGCCGUACUCGGUACUACAUACUUUCUCCAGUUUGAAUAACUUAUCUUAACAAUACAAUAGCUGAAUGAUUUGCUUGUAUGUUUCUCUUUCAGGUUAGAGAGAAAGAUUUUGAUGUGAAUUUUUGGAUAAAAUCCCUGAUUUCUCUUACUUGGAUU